UUUCCGUAGGUGAACCUGCGGAAGGACCAUUAUUGAAAUAAAAACUUGGUUGGGGGUUGCUGCUGGCUCUCAGGAGCAUGUGCACACUCGCUCCAUUUUUUAAUACCACCUGUGCACACACUGUAGGCCUGAAUGAACUUUUUCGAGGUUUAAAAACUUUGGUUUGAGAACUGCCUUUGGGCUGUUCUUGUGUUCCCAGGUCUAUGUUUUAAUCAGUAUACUCCACAACAAGUAAUAGAAUGUCAAAUUAUGGGCCUUUUGUGCCUUUAAACCUAAUACAACUUUCAACAACGGAUCUCUUGGCUCUC
rnacentral:misc_RNA from 1 species